rnacentral:rRNA from 1 species
GCGGCGCACGGGUGAGUAACACGUGGAUAACCUGCCUCGAAGUGGGGAAUAACCCCGGGAAACCGGAGUCUAAUACCGCAUAAUCUGACGAGAUCUGAGGAUUUUGGCAGCAAAGGAGCAAUUCGCUUUGAGAGGGGUCCUGCGGGCUGAUUAGCUAGUUGGUGAGGUAAUGGCUCACCAAGGCCACGAUCAGUAGCCGGUCUGAGAGGACGGUCGGCCACACUGGAAUCUGAGACACGGUCCAGACUCCAUACGGGAGGCAGCAGUGGGGAAUUUUUCGCAAUGGGGGCAACCCUGACGAAGCAACGCCGCGUGGGUGAUGAAGUAUUUCGGUACGUAAAACCCUUUCGACGGGGACGAAACCGCAAGGUUGACGGUACCCGUAGAAGAAGCCCCGGCUAACUCCGUGCCAGCAGCCGCGGUAAAUACGGGGGGGGGCAAAGCGUUGUUCGGAAUUACUUGGGCGUAAAGGGGCGCGUAGGCGGGUUUUGCUAAGUUGGAUUGUGAAAAACUUCUUGGGGCUUAAACCCCAGAGCCUUGCAUUCCAAAAACUUGGCUGACUUGAAGUUACUUGGAGGGGGGA